rnacentral:rRNA from 1 species
UACGUAGGGGGCAAGCGUUAUCCGGAUUUACUGGGUGUAAAGGGAGCGUAGACGGCUGAGCAAGUCAGAAGUGAAAGCCCGGGGCUCAACCCCGGGACUGCUUUUGAAACUGCGGAGCUGGAGUGCAGGAGAGGUAAGCGGAAUUCCUGGUGUAGCGGUGAAAUGCGUAGAUAUCAGGAGGAACACCAGUGGCGAAGGCGGCUUACUGGACUGUAACUGACGUUGAGGCUCGAAAGCGUGGGGAGCAAACA